rnacentral:rRNA from 1 species
AACGUAGGACGCAAGCGUUAUCCGGAGUUACUGGGCGUAAAGCGCGGGCAGGCGGUUCUGCCAGUCUGAUGUGAAAUCUCCUCGCUCAACGGGGAGCAGCCAUUGGAAACUACAGAACUGGAGUCUGGCAGAGGUAGGCGGAAUUCCGGGUGGAGUGGUGAAAUGCGUAGAGAUCCGGAGGAACACCAAUGGCGAAGGCAGCUCGCUGGAACGGUACUGACGCUGAGGCGCGAAAGCGUGGGGAGCAAACAGG